GACUGGACAGCUGCACGCCCCGGACCCCACUCUUUGCCCACGUCCUCCCUUACAAUCUCAAACCCGAGUGUCUACAGCAAUGGGUAGGCGACAUAUCACAAAAAUCAUUGGACCGGAUAACAUGCGUGGCAGGUGGUGGUAAUACUACUACUACUGGACUACAAUAGAUCAAACAACCAUGGAUUCACACUUGUUUCUGGUUCAAAAGGCUAAG